UGCAUGAAAGCUUUUUUCCCUCCUCCUUUCUUGGCGCUUGCUGUGCCGCCCUCGCGCUCCCCUGCGCCCCCCGUAGCCAUGCCUCGCAAAAUCGAGGAAAUCAAGGACUUUCUGCUCACGGCCAGGCGAAAGGACGCCAAAUCCGUCAAGAUCAAGAAAAAUAAGGAUAAUGUGAAGUUUAAAGUGCGGUGCAGCAGAUACCUUUACACCUUGGUCAUCACGGACAAAGAGAAGGCAGAGAAACUGAAGCAGUCCCUGCCCCCAGGUUUGGCAGUGAAGGAGCUGAAGUGAACCUGGCCCACUGAUUUGAACUGUAUUAAAGUUUUAAAAAUUCUUAAA